rnacentral:rRNA from 1 species
UACGUAGGGCGCAAGCGUUGUCCGGAAUUAUUGGGCGUAAAGAGCUCGUAGGCGGCCUGUCGCGUCCGCUGUGAAAUCCCGGGGCUCAACCCCGGGCCUGCAGUGGAUACGGGCUGGCUGGAGGCAGGCAGGGGAGAACGGAAUUCCUGGUGUAGCGGUGAAAUGACGCAGAUAUCAGGAGGAACACCGGUGGCGAAGGCGGUCUCUGGGCAUUACCUGACGUGAGGAGCGAAAGUGUGGGGAGCGAACAGG